rnacentral:rRNA from 1 species
UACGAAGGGGGCUAGCGUUGCUCGGAAUCACUGGGCGUAAAGCGCACGUAGGCGGACUCUUAAGUCGGUGGUGAAAUCCUGGAGCUCAACUCCAGAACUGCCUUCGAUACUGGGAGUCUCGAGUUCGGGAGAGGUGAGUGGAACUGCGAAGUGUAGAGGUGAAAUUCGUAGAUAUUCGCAAGAACACCAGUGGCGAAGGCGGCUCACUGGCCCGAUACUGACGCUGAGGUGGCGAAAGCGUGGGGAGCAAACAGGG